rnacentral:rRNA from 1 species
ACGAACGCUGGCGGUGUGCUUAACACAUGCAAGUCGAACGGUAAGGCCCUUUCGGGGGUACACGCGUGGCGACCGGGUGAGUAACACGUGAGUAACCUGCCCUCAUCUCUGGGAUAACAGUCGGAAACGGUUGCUAAUACUGGAUAUGAGCUUGCAAGGCAUCUUGUGGGUUGGAAAGAUUUUUUUGGUUGGGGAUGGACUCGCGGCCUAUCAGCUUGUUGGUGAGGUAGUGGCUCACCAAGGCUUCGACGGGUAGCCGGCCUGAGAGGGCGACCGGCCACAUUGGGACUGAGAUACGGCCCAAACUCCUACGGGAGGCAGCAGUGGGGAAUAUUGCACAAUGGACGGAAGUCUGAUGCAGCAACGCCGCGUGCGGGAUGACGGCCUUCGGGUUGUAAACCGCUUUCAAUUGUGACGAAGCUUUUUGUGACGGUAGCAGUAGAAGAAGCACCGGCUAACUACGUG